CACAUCCCUGAUCUAGGAGCCCCUAGCAUGGCACGAACUCUAGCCCCUGUCUUUGAAGUGCUUGCUAAGAUGACCCCAAAUGUGCUGAGCGUUCAAAGGAAUGAUGGCGAUGAGAUUACAUGGACAGCAAAUGAAGACUGAAAUCCUCAAAAUUCUUCUCCCAAGAAGCCAAGAAGAAAGUCAUUUCACAUGAAUUUUUGGAGAAACGUCUGAGACAAAUUUGAUACUUGAAAGAAACAACUGAGAACUGAAUUACGUCUCCUGAGGUAUGAAAGAGCAACCAGCCCAGAGAAGCUCAUGUAGAGCAGGUGUCCUCAAGCACCUCAUUCCCACAGAAUGCAGAACGGCGUCCAGAUCCUCUUAUCUGGAGGAGAAAUCCAGCUGCACCUCGGAAAUAGCUGACGGGCUCAGAGGAGCCUGUGAUCAUGUGACUCUCUGAAAUAACAAAGCAUGGGUUAAACAAAGACAAGCGCUAGCAGAUGUGUGGGAGCAGCAGGCUCCGGAUCAGUCAACAGACACGUAAAGCCGCCCGAUUCACUUCUCGAGGUAAAACAUUUGUCAUCUGCAUCCACUCAGAGCCAAGCUUUUGGCAAGCAUCUUUAUCGUUUUGCUGCCACACAAAGAAA